CCCCUGGGCUAACAGGCCAAGGGAAAAACCUCAAUGGCGCCCACCGGGGUCUGUGUCAGCAUGCCUGGACCAGCUCAGAACAAUGGCCCCCACCAAUGUCUUAGUCUCCAGAGAGGUCCCUCCUCUCACCAGAGCCCACCCAGGAUUCUUGUCAUCAGCAUUCUUAACAGGGAUUCCUGACAUGACAUUCAGGACCCAAUGCUCCUGUGUGUGGCACUUACACGUGAGAGCUGCUUCAUUCCAGAAACCCAGCCCGAACCAAGACAAGACCGCAUGCUGCUCAGGAGGUGUAUGUUUCAGAGAGCUAAGCUUUCUCACCUUUCCACAAGGUCCUGCAGCAUGAUGCUACAGCUGCCGCCGUUGUGCAUGGAUGAGGAGCGAGAGAACCCCUUCCACAGUUCCUGGUCAGUGAAGACGUCUAGAAAGAACAAAUCAUCUCCUGAUGCCCUCCGUGGUGAUUCUCCCGUCUGUUAUUUAUGACACCCCUCCAGCACUGCUCGGCCCAACAUCUCAGUCGUCUUGUCCUACCAGAUACCUCACUCUGUUUCUGGAUAUGACCGCGUAAACGUGAGGCCCGUCUGUGCUGGGGCCACUUUGCAAUAAUCCAGGAAGUCAGCCCAAAGUGAUGGCAACACCACGGCAAGACAGAGGGACAAAUAAUGACACCAGUGAACUGUUAAUCCUCCUCUUUCCAAUGACAAGACCCACUACGUCCCUAGCGUCAUAGAAAUCAACUUGAUUCUGGUGCCCUUUGACAAGCUCCGGGAAGUGUCCCAAAUGCUGUGAUCUGCCAUUUGUGCUGUGUCCACACAGAGACCCAGCCCUCGCCUUCCCCCACUCUGAGCUCUGACACCACAUAGAGUCUGGAGCACACAAUGACAUCGUAUCACGAUUGGGUCGCCACCAGGGGUUAGCAGGAAUGAGGCACAGGGAGGCCGAGAAGGAGUAGGGGCCAAAGACAGAGAAAAAACACGUGAGAAUGGAGGGAGACCCAGAGAUGUCUUCACAGCCUACUCCUCGUGUCCUACACGUUCACCAUCAGCCUUUGCUACAAAACAGCACGUCCUAAGGUCCACUCAAGUUAGUGGUUUGACCGUCUCAUUUCCAAGGUGUGCACCAUAGUUGUGAUCAUGUGUUUCCCAUUUUUCUCAUUAAGGU
rnacentral:lncRNA from 1 species